GGCGGAAUGGCCGAGUGGUCUAAGGCGGCAGAUUUAAGUCACGUGAUCUUUACGAAAAAGGCAACCUAUGCCCUUUUUGUCGACUUCACGGAUAAUCCCUGCUCCCGAAAGGGGCGCGCGUUCGAACCGCGCUUCCGUCA
rnacentral:tRNA from 1 species